AACAUCGCGCACCUGCGGGAACCUGCGGAUGGAUCAUUACAGAGUUGCAAAACUCCCUAAACCAUUGUGAACGUUACCUAAACCGUUGCUUCGGCGGGCGGCCCGGGUCCUUCCCGGCGCCCAUCGGCCCUCGCGGGCGCCCGCCGGAGGUAAACCAAACUAUUGCAUUGUAUGGCCUCUCUGAGUCUUCUGUACUGAAUAAGUCAAAACUUUCAACAACGGAUCUCAGAUCGGAAGAGC
rnacentral:misc_RNA from 1 species